AUUUUAUUUUAAUAAGGUCUGGACAUAUUUAUACUCAGUAAUAUUGUAUAGACAUAGAAAAUGUUAACCUUAAAUAAUGAGAUUCAGAAAAUAUAAUUAGUUAUAGAGUAUAUUCUAGCUCAAAGCUUGAGAAUAGCCACCUAGUAAUAUCUGAUAAAGGACUUCCAUCCAGACUACAUAAAAACUCUUAGAAUUCAAAAAUUUUAAAAAAAUUAAAAAUGGACAAAGGAUCUGAAUAGUCCUAACCACUAGGAUGGCUAGAAUCCUACGUCUGAUACUAUCACAUGUUGGUGAGAAACACCAACACUGGAUAAAUCAGUACCUUCAUACACUACUGGUAAGAAUGUAUGACUCUGUUGGACGAGCAUUUUCAGUGCUGUAGGUGGUUCUGCAAUUAAUGUAAGACACAUCAAAUGAGCAAUUCAAUUUCAAAGAAUUGGUUUUCAUAUUCUUAUCAUAUUCUUUAUAAGCAUAAUAAGAGCUCCCAGUAACACUUAAUGAUAUUUCCUUGGCUUCAGCUUUUUCAAAUAUUAAUUUUCUUAAUCAGAAUUUGAUUUUGCUGACAUUUAAAAAAAUAUGACUUAGUUCACCACUCUACUUUCAACUUCACUUUACAUUAGGUGUAUGUUUUGUAUACAGUAAGUGUUUUUGUGUUUUUAACCAAUAAAUAUUUUUUGCUUUUACUAAAAUAUCUAUGGUAUUUAUAAAUUUUGUUUCCUUUACUGUCAUUUUUAAGAGCUGAAAGCAUAAAAAUUUAGAAAGCAUAAAAAUUAGGUCUCACCAAAUACAGAAUAUCAACAAAUAUAUUGAAAUUAUAAAAAAGAACUAAACUAAAAUUAUGCAGAUGAAAAAUACAAUAACUGAAAUUUUAAAAAGAUUACUAGAGGGUCUCAAAAGCAGAUUCCAGCAUGCAGAAGAAAGAAGCCAUACAUUUAAAGAUCAUACAAUUCUCUAGUAUGAGAAACAGAAAGAAAAAUAAAUGAAGGAAAAUGAACAGACUUCAGAGAUCUGUGGGAACUAUGAAGUACACCAACAACCACUCAUGGGAGGCCCAUAAGAAGGAGGAAAAGUAAAAUGGCCAGAAAGAACAUAUGAAGAAAUAUGGGCAAAUAUUUCUCAAAUUUGAUUUCAAAGAACUAUACACAUGCAAGAAUCUCAAGAAAAACUCUAGAAGAGAACAGUAUAAAUCUUCUUGACCUUGUAAUUGGCAAGAGUUUCUUAGAUAUAACAUCUAACACACAACCAAGGGCAAAACAUAAAGAAAUCAUACAUCAUAAAAAUAAAAACAAAUUGUACAUCAAAGGACACGAUUAAGGAAGCAAAAAGACAACCCACAGAAUGGCAGAAAGUGUUUGCAAAUCAUCUGUCUGAUAAGGGUCUAGUAUCCACAAUAUAUA
rnacentral:lncRNA from 1 species